GACGAACGCUGGCGGCGUGCUUAACACAUGCAAGUCGAACGGAAAGGCCCUGCUUUUGUGGGGUGCUCGAGUGGCGAACGGGUGAGUAACACGUGAGUAACCUGCCCUUGACUUUGGGAUAACUUCAGGAAACUGGGGCUAAUACCGGAUAGGAGCUCCUGCUGCAUGGUGGGGGUUGGAAAGUUUCGGCGGUUGGGGAUGGACUCGCGGCUUAUCAGCUUGUUGGUGGGGUAGUGGCUUACCAAGGCUUUGACGGGUAGCCGGCCUGAGAGGGUGACCGGCCACAUUGGGACUGAGAUACGGCCCAGACUCCUACGGGAGGCAGCAGUGGGGAAUAUUGCACAAUGGGCGGAAGCCUGAUGCAGCAACGCCGCGUGCGGGAUGACGGCCUUCGGGUGGUAAACCGCUUUCGCCUGUGACGAAGCGUGAGUGACGGGAAUGGGUAAAGAAGCACCGGCUAACUACGU
rnacentral:rRNA from 1 species